rnacentral:rRNA from 1 species
AGAGUUUGAUCCUAGCUCAGGAUGAACGCUCGCUGUGUGCCUAAUACAUGCAUGUUGAACGGGAUGUAGCAAUACAUUCAGUAGCGAAUGGGUGAGUAACACGUACCUAACCUACCUUUAAGACUGGGAUAACUAUUGGAAACAAUAGCUAAUACCGGAUAUAGUUAUUUAUCGCAUGAUGAGUAAUAGAAAGGAGCUUCACAGCUUCACUUAAAAAUGGGGGUGCGGAACAUUAGUUAGUUGGUAGGGUAAUGGCCUACCAAGACGAUGAUGUUUAGCCGGGCCGAGAGGCUGUACGGCCACACUGGGACUGAGAUACGGCCCAGACUCCUACGGGAGGCAGCAGUAAGGAAUUUUCCACAAUGAGCGAAAGCUUGAUGGAGCGACACAGCGUGCAGGAUGAAGUUCUUCGGAAUGUAAACUGCUGUUAUAAGGGAAGAAAAAAUAGAAUAGGAAAUGAUUUUAUCUUGACGGUACCUUAUUAGAAAGCGACGGCAAACUAUGUGCCAGCAGCCGCGGUAAUACAUAGGUCGCAAGCGUUAUCCGGAAUUAUUGGGCGUAAAGCGUCCGUAGGUUUUUUGCUAAGUCUGGAGUUAAAUGCUGAAGCUCAACUUCAGUCCGCUUUGGAUACUGGCAAAAUAGAAUUAUAAAGAGGUUAGCGGAAUUCCUAGUGAAGCGGUGGAAUGCGUAGAUAUUAGGAAGAACACCAAUAGGCGAAGGCAGCUAACUGGUUAUAUAUUGACACUAAGGGACGAAAGCGUGGGGAGCAAACAGGAUUAGAUACCCUGGUAGUCCACGCCGUAAACGAUGAUCAUUAGUUGGUGGAAUAAUUUCACUAACGCAGCUAACGCGUUAAAUGAUCCGCCUGAAUAGUAUGCUCGCAAGAGUGAAACUUAAAGGAAUUGACGGGAACCCGCACAAGCGGUGG